GAUGAACGCUGGCGGCGUGCUUAACACAUGCAAGUCGAACGAAACACCUUAUUUGAUUUUCUUCGGAACUGAAGAUUUGGUGAUUGAGUGGCGGACGGGUGAGUAACGCGUGGGUAACCUGCCCUGUACAGGGGGAUAACAGUCAGAAAUGACUGCUAAUACCGCAUAAGACCACAGCACCGCAUGGUGCAGGGGUAAAAACUCCGGUGGUACAGGAUGGACCCGCGUCUGAUUAGCUGGUUGGUGAGGUAACGGCGCACCAAGGCGACGAUCAGUAGCCGGGUUGUGAGAGUGAACGGCCACAUUGGGACGGAGACACGGCCCAAACUCCUACGGGAUGCAGCAGUGGGGAAUAUUGCACAAUGGGGUAAACCCUGAUGCAGCGACGCCGCGUGAGUGAAGAAGUAUUUCGGUAUGUAAAGCUCUAUCAGCAGGGAAGAAAAUGACGGUACCUGACGAAGAAGCCCCGGCUAACUACGUG
rnacentral:rRNA from 1 species